GUAGGGGGCAAGCGUUGUCCGGAAUCAUUGGGCGUAAAGAGCUCGUAGGCGGCUUAGUAAGUCGGUCGUGAAAUACCGAGGCUCAACCUCGGUACUGCGGUCGAUACUGCUAUAGCUAGAGUUUGGUAGAGGAGAACGGAAUUCCCGGUGUAGCGGUGGAAUGCGCAGAUAUCGGGAGGAACACCUGUAGCGAAGGCGGUUCUCUGGGCCAACACUGACGCUGAGGAGCGAAAGCGUGGGGAGCAAACAGGAUUAGAUACCCUGGUAGUCCACGCUGUAAACGUUGGGCACUAGGUGUGGCGACCCGACCAACGGUUGCCGUGCCGAAGCUAACGCAUUAAGUGCCCCGCCUGGGGAGUACGGCCGCAAGGCUA
rnacentral:rRNA from 1 species